AUGAUAAAUAACAAGGGCUGGCCCCUUCUCCCAGGUAAAAAUGGGACUGCUCCAUCUGAUUACCUGAGCUGGGCACCCGAAGAGGCUAUGUCUUAUGAAGCACUGCCAAUUAAUUAUGUUUGGCACCCCAGAUAACCUAUGUGGUAGUCUUCUCUAAUAAAAAAAAUUUUGUAGGAGUCUAAAAGAUAAAA
rnacentral:lncRNA from 12 species